GCACCCUUGGCCAAGCGGUAAGGCGUGGUCUUCCGGUUUGUGCUCUAACCAGCGCGGAUUUGGAUCUGGCCAAGAUCGUCGGUUCGAUCCCGGCAGGGUGCU